CUGCGGGUAGCCGGGACCGGGCGGCGGCGCCUGCUGGGCGCCGGGCUGCGGAUAGCCGUAGCCGCCGCCCUGGUGCGGGCCGGGGCCGCCGG
rnacentral:tRNA from 1 species